rnacentral:rRNA from 1 species
ACUGCUCAGUAACACGUGGAUAAUCUGCCCUAAGGUCAGGCAUAACACCGGGAAACUGGUGAUAAUUCCUGAUAUACCAUAGAUACUGGAAUGUUCUGUGGUCAAAAGCUCCGGCGCCUUAGGAUGAAUCUGCGGCCUAUCAGGUUGUAGUGGGUGUAACGUACCUACUAGCCGACGACGGGUACGGGUUGUGAGAGCAAGAGCCCGGAGAUGGAUUCUGAGACAUGAAUCCAGGCCCUACGGGGCGCAGCAGGCGCGAAAACUUUACAAUGCGGGAAACCGCGAUAAGGGGACACUGAGUGCCAGCAUACAAUGUUGGCUGUCCGCAUGUAUAAAUAGCAUGUGUUAGCAAGGGCCGGGCAAGACCGGUGCCAGCCGCCGCGGUAACACCGGCGGCCCGAGUGGUGGCCACUAUUAUUGGGUCUAAAGGGUCCGUAGCCGGUUUGAUCAGUCUUCCGGGAAAUCUGACAGCUCAACUGUUAGGCUUCCGGGGGAUACUGUCAGACUUGGGACCGGGAGAGGUAAGAGGUACUACAGGGGUAGGAGUGAAAUCUUGUAAUCCUUGUGGGACCACCAGUGGCGAAGGCGUCUUACCAGAACGGGUCCGACGGUGAGGGACGAAAGCUGGGGGCACGAACCGGAUUAGAUACCCGGGUAGUCCCAGCCGUAAACGAUGCUCGCUAGGUGUCUGGGAUGGUGCGACCGUUUCAGGUGCCGCAGGGAAGCCGUGAAGCGAGCCACCUGGGAAAUACGGCCGCAAGGCUGAAACUUAAAGGAAUUGGCGGGGGAG